AUACCUCUUUCUUUUUCCUUGGAAACCCUUGAGUAUUUUCUUGGGAAAUUGCGCUCUAUGGCGUUCAAAAAAAUUGUAAUUCACUAUAUAGACAAAAUCCCUAAUUUUCGUUGAUACCACGUGUAUUUAUGUAUUAUUCUCAUAUUAACAUCUCAAACAACCCGGCAAACCUACAUGUAAAAAAAAAAAAAAUUAAUAAUUAGUAUAUUGAAAAAAUUAUUUGUGGCCAUUGGUAAGUCAUACACUCUUCUAAAAUAAUUUGUUCUUCGUAACUUUUUGGAGAAAUUGAAUAGUUUUGCGUCUGAGAUUUGCUUCACUGUGAUUCCAAUUCAAUUACCGAACAACAUUGAAAACGGUCUUCCGUUGUUGGUGUUGACUCUUCACUGUUUCCACAAACGACAUCGAAGACAACGAAGUCACAUGCGAUUCAACCUAACUUGGCGUAUCGGUGCAUAUACUAGCUCAGUUUAUGCAAAAUCCACGUGAUGAUCAUUGGAUUACAGCUCUAAGAGUGGUUCGGGACAGAGAUUACUACUGGAUCAAACGAAGACUUCCAGAUAACAGGCUGGUCAGACUCUGAUUGGGAAGCUGUCCUAUCACUAGAGGUCCAUAACAGGAUAUCACUAGGAGCAAACGAAGACUUUAUCUUCGCAACCUGAGUCUACAUAGCGAAACCAAACUCACGAUGCCUGUCUCGAGUUUCGUCAUUCAAACCAUUGUCUUAGCUAUAUGCAACCACUCGUUGGAACUCAUCUAAGUACAUAGAAACAAAACAAUUGUUGUUUUCACGGAUUCAGAGGAUGGUUUUCAAGGCAA